GAAAGCGGAAGUGUGGGAGGGUCUGCGGGGCGGGCUCGGGGAGGUCCGGGAGGAGGAUGGAGCAGUGAGCGGGUCUGAGCUGCUGCCGGCAGCGCCAUGGAGACGGUGCAGCUGAGGAACCCGCCGCGCCGGCAGCUGAAAAAGUUGGAUGAAGAUAGUUUAACCAAACAGCCAGAAGAAGUGUUUGAUGUCUUAGAGAAACUUGGAGAAGGGUCUUAUGGCAGUGUAUACAAAGCAAUUCAUAAAGAGACGGGCCAGAUCGUCGCUAUUAAACAAGUUCCUGUGGAGUCAGACCUGCAGGAGAUAAUCAAAGAAAUCUCUAUAAUGCAGCAAUGUGACAGCCCUCACGUAGUCAAGUAUUAUGGCAGUUAUUUUAAGAACACAGACCUGUGGAUUGUCAUGGAGUACUGUGGGGCUGGUUCUGUAUCGGAUAUCAUUCGGCUACGAAAUAAAACGUUAACAGAAGAUGAAAUAGCUACAAUAUUACAGUCAACUCUUAAGGGAUUAGAAUACCUUCAUUUUAUGAGAAAAAUACACCGAGACAUCAAGGCAGGAAAUAUCUUGCUGAAUACAGAAGGACACGCAAAACUUGCGGAUUUUGGGGUAGCAGGUCAACUUACAGAUACCAUGGCCAAGAGGAAUACAGUGAUAGGGACACCAUUUUGGAUGGCUCCAGAAGUGAUUCAGGAAAUUGGGUACAACUGUGUGGCGGACAUCUGGUCUCUGGGAAUAACUGCUAUAGAAAUGGCUGAAGGAAAGCCCCCGUAUGCCGAUAUCCAUCCCAUGAGGGCAAUCUUCAUGAUUCCUACAAACCCUCCCCCAACAUUUCGAAAGCCAGAACUCUGGUCCGAUAACUUCAUGGAUUUUGUGAAGCAGUGUCUCGUAAAGAGCCCUGAGCAGCGAGCCACAGCCACUCAACUCCUGCAGCACCCUUUUGUCAAGAGUGCUAAAGGAGUGUCAAUCCUGCGAGACUUAAUUAAUGAAGCCAUGGAUGUGAAACUAAAACGCCAGGAAGCCCAGCAGCGGGAAGUGGACCAGGACGACGAAGAAAAUUCAGAAGAGGAUGAAAUGGAUUCUGGCACGAUGGUUCGAGCAGUGGGUGACGAGAUGGGCACUGUCCGAGUAGCCAGCACCAUGAGUGACGGAGCCAAUACCAUGAUUGAGCACGACGGCACGCUGCCAUCACAGCUGGGCACCAUGGUGAUCAAUGCGGAGGACGAGGAAGAGGAAGGGACUAUGAAAAGAAGGGAUGAGACCAUGCAGCCAGCAAAGCCAUCUUUCCUUGAAUACUUCGAACAAAAAGAAAAGGAAAACCAGGUCAACAGCUUUGGCAAGAGUGUCCCUGGCCCUCUGAAAAAUGUUUCAGAUUGGAAAGUACCGCAGGAUGGAGACUAUGAGUUUCUUAAGAGUUGGACGGUGGAGGACCUGCAGAAGAGGCUCUUGGCGCUGGACCCCAUGAUGGAGCAGGAGAUCGAAGAGAUCCGGCAGAAGUACCAGUCCAAGCGGCAGCCGAUCCUUGAUGCCAUCGAGGCGAAGAAGAGGCGGCAGCAGAAUUUCUGAGCGAGGCCAGGUCGGCCCUGAGGGGACAGGGGCGCCCUUCCACCCAGGCCUCGGGUGACUCCUGGAUCACUGGCCUGGCGCCCACUAGCCAGCCCUCUGCCCUGUCGCUUCCCCACAGCCCCUUGCGAACUCAGGAACGUGCGUCAAUGGGCAGGGCUGCCUAACUGUGGGCGGCUGACGUGCCGUGCCCGUUUCCAAUGGUCAGGGAUAUCAUUUCAGAGGAUUUACAUUGGCGCUUUUAACUCAGAGUUUCAAACCCCAGGAACAGAGACUCCUAGUUGAGUGGUAGCUGGGAAAGUUCUACAUUGUCUUUUUGUUUUUCUUCUCCUGAUAGCUUUCAAUUGUUCUUUUUGGAAGACUUUUAAAAACUAUAUAAAUAUGCACAUAUAUAUAUAGAUAUAUAUAUAUAAGUUAUAAAUGGAUUCCCCACUCAGUGUGGUGGCAUCUCUGUACAGGUACAGUUUUAAACAGUCUGCCUCUUUUCCGUAAGAUUAUGGUACUGUGGAACAUGAGGGCAGAGGACACCGGGAGGCCGGUAAGGAGCCACCGAAUCCCAGGAGCCAACCUCACCCUUUGCAGGGCUGCAUUAUAAAUUAGGUUUGGGACAGUUCUUUCACCAUGGCUUCAGCCUUGUUUGGGUCAUCACUGGCUUGUGGAGCCGUUGGUGAUGUCCAGGGGGAAGCCUUGAGAGUCCGUGUUUACUCUUUGUGGCCAGGAGAAGCCUGGCACCCUCAUUGCAAACUGGCCUUUGCUGUUUCAGCACCUUUCAUUCCUCUCCACUCUCCCAACCGCCUACAGUCGCAGCACAGAUACUGCCAGUGCCUUAAGAGGAGAUGUGAUCUAGUGAAGGGACAGGCCUACCAGGAACUCUCAGCACACGUGGGGUUAUGUUCAGUCCACAAAAGGGAAAGGGUUUGUAGAGCUCUCGACGUUCAUGUCAAAGUCACAUGUGGCAUUUUGUUCUGCGUCCCUUGCAGACAGGGGUGGAGGGCAUUGCUUUCGUGAUUUGCAUUCAAAUAUGUGACUGUUUCUUUUUGUUCUUUUGGAAACCUCCAACUAAGAUUUGUUCUCCAGGAGGCUCAGCCCAGCUCACAGAAUGGCCGAGCUGGAAGAGACCAUAGACAUCAUCUAGUCUGACUCUCUUGUAUGGAUGGGAAAACAGAGGCUUAGAGCGGGGAAGUGACAGGCCCAGAAUCACAAGGCAAAGUAGAAUAACUGUGGAACUAGAACUCAGGGCUCCUCAUUCCUGGGCCAUGGAAGCAAGCAGCCCCUUCUCUGAGGGAAGAGACUUGUGUCAGUUUGGGUGAAGUUGUCCCAGAGAACCUUGCUAGCAGAAACUUGUUGUUGCCUUACUCUUCAGUGAGUGUCCUGGCUGUGAAGAGAUUUCCCAGAGGGACCAGGGUGAGUGCAUGGGCUCUUCAGCACCUGCUGGGAAACAGACAGGAACCCACAGAGGCAGACUGAGGACUUAGAGCAGACCAGAGGGUCUUGGAAAAGAUGGCACUGAGCCACCCUUAUGGAUGGCUCCGGACUAUGUGGCUUUUAGUGUACAGUUGGAAAAGACAAAUCGGUUUUUGUUUUCUUCUAAUCUCUUCCCCUCAGAUAGGGAGGCCAUGACUGGGCUGCAGGGAAGGGCACUGUAAUUUGACACCGUAUGGACUUCCACUCCCCAAACCUGGGAAUCAAUGGAAAGGCAGAGAAUGUUCUUUCUUCUUUUGUGGCCAGAGUCCCGUUCUUCUGUUCUUUGCGAUUAAAGCAAGUUUUUAAAAAUGCAAGAGGCAGUUGAUCUUUAGGGCUUGGCCAAAAUAAUAAAUGGCAGCUAGCAUUUGCUGACUGUGUAUUAUAUUCCAGGCAUGAGCUAGGUAGGCUUUUUACACGUGUCAGCUCCAGACCUCACAAUAACCCUGUGAGUCCAGUACUGUAUCUCCAUUCCAUAGACGAAGAAAUGAGCCCAGAGGAGACAUUCCUUCCCAGGACAAGACAGCUGAUGAGGAAGUUGAGGUCAAGUCUGUUUCUGAAGGUCAUGUCGCUAGACUAUGGCAGAGCCAGGAUUCAAAUCCAUGUCUUCUGAUUCUUAUUCCAGUGUCCUUUCUAGCAAACCAUGUUGCCUCUGAAGAUUGCAGCUCCUUAUUUACCGGAAGUUUGCUCCUGCCAACCCACACCUCCACUCCCACUUCAUCCUCUCUUAAGCACUGUGUUUGUAUUUUCAUCAGGAUUAUAUUCAUCGUCUUUAGCAUCCAUGUUCUUGUUUGGGUUUGGGGGGAAAAAAAAUCUUUCACCAGCUUGCACUCGGACCAACUUGGAAAAAAAGAAAGCUUAAAUGCUGUUGUUGAUGUACAGAUUAAAAAAAAAAAUGUGAAGUUUGUAGCUUUAACUUUUUGUAACAGAAACUAAUAACACUGGCUGAAGUGCUGACUUGAAAUGCUAUUUUGUAAGGUUUGGAUGUAAAUAAUCAAUUGAGGUCGGCAGUUUGUAUAUGUGUGAGACAUAGCUUCCUCCACUGCCCACCCGCCCUUUUAAAAAUUUUAAGAUGCUUCCUGUGUGCUUUUAUUUUAGAAUUGUUCUUCUUCCCUCCUGCCUAUACCUUGUUACCUUUGUUUUAAAUAAACUGUCUUUUGGAUCA